GCUCUCGUAGCUCAGUUGGUAGAGCGCAUCCAUGGUAAGGAUGAGGUCAGCGGUUCAAACCCGCUCGAGAGCUCCA
rnacentral:tRNA from 1 species